AUUUUGAUCAAUACGUCAUAUGACUUUUUGGCUAUCUUUCCCGCGCUAUGUGUAAAGAGAUUUCUUGCUGAAACAAUCUUUAUCAGAAGAAGCGUAACGUAUACAGUCGUUAUUGUAAGUAUUGUACAAAAUUUCUAAGAAUAGGAUUUACUACUUCCUACAUGUAUGUAUUGUAAUAUGAAGAUGUCUUCAGCUAAAAACGAAACGUUAUUGUUGAUAAAAUUAUAUACCCAUGGCCAUAUUAAAAGUUUCAUGAUGGGCAAUUAUAUUUAUAAUAAGA